rnacentral:misc_RNA from 1 species
GAAAUGCGAUAAGUAGUGUGAAUUGCAGAAUUCAGUGAAUCAUCGAAUCUUUGAACGCACAUUGCGCCCUAUGGUAUUCCGUAGGGCAUGCCUGUUCGAGCGUCAUUUACACCUUCAAGCCUUGCUUGGUGUUGGGUGACUGAGGCCCCUUUGGGGCCACUCGCCUUAAAGUCAUUGGCGGUCGGUUCGUUGGCUUUGUAGCGCAGCACAAUUGCGUCCUCGAAGCCGCUGGACCAGCUCCCAGAAGCUAAUUUUAAAUGUUUGACCUCGAAUCAGGUAGGGAUACCCGCUGAACUUAAGC